rnacentral:tRNA from 1 species
GCUAUUGGCAGACCAUUGCAGUAAAUUUAGAAUUUAUCAUUAUCUU